UGCACACCUGACGUGGAGAACCCAGUCCGGGGAUCAACUUGAGCUACAGUUCCACCCACUUUGGCAACUGACGUCUCAACUUCAGCUGCCCCUCUCGUCGAAAGUCAAGCCCUCUCUCUCACCUCUUCCAGCCAAAGAGCUCAAGCCUUUCUCUUGCCUCUCCUCGGCCAAGCCUAUCCAGGUCAAGCAAUGUAAUGGAGUCAUCAACGAAAUUUCCCAUUCUUCAUCUCCUUGUGAUAAAAUUUCUCUCCACUAAAACAGCCUUCCCCUCAUCGUGGUCCUCUUUGUAUCGGUUCCUCCCAUCUCUCUCUGUACAUCUAGAUCUGCGAUAAAGGAACCGUGCUUGCAUCCACCGUGCCUGCAUCAUCCCGCUGAACUCUUGUUAAUUAUAACCCAUUACAAUGACGGGAAUGUUUACUUCACCAAAUGGAUAUUGUGUUUGUUGAUCGAGUGCAGGGAUGAUAUUUGAGGAUGAUGGUUCUAGUGUCUGAUUGUGUGUAAGUGAUUUUAGGGAAGCUUCAAAUUGACUUAUAGCGCAUAUGUGGCUGGUGUUUCCCUAGGUUGUUACACACCAACUCAGCAAAAUCUUAAGACCCAAUAACUUCUAUUUGUUGGUGUCUUAUUUUCUAGUCAGCUUUAUUUCGAAGUAUAUCCUCUGUUAAAUCCUUGCUUACUACACAUUUCCUACCUCUUAUGGACCUUUCACUUGUCUUUUGUAGCCUUGAACUUGGAAGUCAAAUUAUUAUUGGCCACUGCAUUGGUAGGCUUUUGCUUUUCUUGCACUUGGCAGUCACAAGUCUAAAACUUUUUCCAUUUACUUAUAUAUCUUCACACUCAUAUAAUCUUUUGUACGUACUUAUUUGUCCGAUACUAACUCAAUUCAUGUAAAUUGUUAUUGCUUGGCAUUUGUUGAGAUUCUCUGAACUCUAAAUGUUUUGGACAACUUAAAGAGAUAAAAUUAUGUGAUCGUCUACUUGAGCGAGGUUUAUGUUUUUAGAAAUGUCUUCAAUUCAUUCUUGUAAUCUUUCCUAAAACUAGUGCAUCUAUGCAUUAUUUGUGUGUACAAGUUAUAGUGUGGCAGUUCCCCAAUGUUAAAUUUACUGUCGUGAAGAGUGUUACAAUGUGAGCGAUAAUGUCCACAUUUGCUCUUUAAAUUUACUCUAUUUUUUUUUUUUUGUUUGUCCAUGACUUGCGUAAUAAAUUAAAAAAGAAAAAAGAAGUCGUGCAGUAGAGUAUUAUUGUCCUUGCUAUUUGAUGGUCCUUGUGUUGCAUAUGCCCUGUUUCUUUUUUGGUGCCCUUUAGUAUUAUGAGUGUUAUUGUCUGAAAAAUAUGGUGUUUCAGGUUGAUAAUUUUGGCACUGUAAACCUUUUUGAACCAUGCCGUAAACUAGGUGUCAACAGAUUCAUACUUAUCAGUUUCCUUUUAGUGAAUGGAGCUGCAUGGGACAGAUACUUAAUCCAGCUUACAUCUUUCUCAAUGUUUUUGGACUUACAUUAGUUGCAAAGCUUCAGGCUGAACAAUAUAUCAGAAAAUCCUGAAUAAACUACACUACAAUACGGCCUAGUGAGCUACCCCUGGCAGGAAUAUUUUGAUGGAGCUAGAGGGGUAACAAAAGGGAUACUCUUUAUGAAGGUACCAUAUCCAAAUAUAAGGUUGAAGAUAAACUAAGAGAGAGACAAAGGUUGAGGUUAAACAAAAUUUGUGGGGGGUUGAGAAUAGAAAUGCACGAAUAUUAUAUCAAUUGUAAUAGUUUAUGCUUGGUUCAUAUAAACUAUAGGGCAUUUACAAUAUUUUCUUGAUUUCUUUUGUAUGGAUCAAUUGUAAUGGCCCUUCCCCAUGAAUUGUAGAGGCUAUUUUCAAAAUAUAGAGUUUUUUGUCACUUUUCUGAA